UACGGAGGAUGCGAGCGUUAUCCGGAUUUAUUGGGUUUAAAGGGUGCGUAGGCGGGAUGCCAAGUCAGCGGUAAAAAUGCGGUGCUCAACACCGUCGAGCCGUUGAAACUGGCGUUCUUGAGUGGGCGAGAAGUAUGCGGAAUGCGUGGUGUAGCGGUGAAAUGCAUAGAUAUCACGCAGAACUCCGAUUGCGAAGGCAGCAUACCGGCGCCCUACUGACGCUGAGGCACGAAAGCGUGGGUAUCGAACAGG
rnacentral:rRNA from 1 species